AAGUCGUAACAAGGUUUCCGUAGGUGAACCUGCGGAAGGAUCAUUAGUGAAUUUUAGGGUGCUCUUUACUUCGGUAAAGAGGCCUGACCUCCACUCUCCAACACUGUGCACUAUUUGGCUCGAUUUCGAAGGCGCGAGAGCGCUGGAUUAGUCGAGCGGCUUCAUUUUAAACUCCAAGUUAAAGAAUGUAACAAAAAACAAAACUAAAAAAAACUUUCAACAACGGAUCUCUUGGCUCUC
rnacentral:misc_RNA from 1 species